UUAGCCCUAAACUUAGAUAGUUCCCCAAACAAAUCUACCCGCCAGAGAACUACUAGCAACAGCUUAAAACUCAAAGGACUUGGCGGUGCUUUAUAUCCCUCUAGAGGAGCCUGUUCUAUAAUCGAUAAACCCCGAUACACCUCACCACCUCUCGCUAAGCCAGUCUAUAUACCGCCAUCUUCAGCAAACCCUAAAAAGGAAGAAUAGUAAGCACAAGCAUCUCAACAUAAAAAAGUUAGGUCAAGGUGUAGCCUAUGAGGUGGGAAGCAAUGGGCUACAUUUUCUACAAUAGAACAUCCCUUUCACGAAAGUUCCCAUGAAACUAAGAACUAAGGAGGAUUUAGUAGUAAAUGAGAAUA
rnacentral:rRNA from 1 species